rnacentral:rRNA from 1 species
AGUUCGGAUUGCAGGCUGCAACCCGCCUGUAUGAAGUUGGAAUCGCUAGUAAUCGCGGAUCAGCAUGCCGCGGUGAAUACGUUCCCGGGCCUUGUACACACCGCCCGUCACACCAUGAGAGUCGGAAACACCCGAAGUCCGUAGUCUAACUUUCACGAGAGGACGCGGCCGAAGGUGGGUUCGAUAAUUGGGGUGAAGUCGUAACAAGGUAGC